GAGAGGAGCUGUCCUUAGUACGAGAGGACCGGGAUGGACAUACCUCUGGUGUACCAGUUGUCGUGCCAACGGCAUAGCUGGGUAGCUAUGUGUGGACGGGAUAAGUGCUGAAAGCAUCUAAGCAUGAAGCCCCCCUCAAGAUGAGAUUUCCCAACUUCGGUUAUAAGAUCCCUCAAAGAUGAUGAGGUUAAUAGGUUCGAGGUGGAAGCAUGGUGACAUGUGGAGCUGACGAAUACUAAUCGAUCGAAGACUUAAUCAAAA
rnacentral:rRNA from 1 species